UACAUGUGGGGCAAGCGUUGUUCGGAAUUACUGGGCAUAAAGGGUGCGUAGGUGGCUUGUUAAGUCAGGGGUGAAAGUUUUCGGCCCAACCGGAAAAUGGCCUUUGAUACUGGCGAGCUCGAGUGCGUGAGGGGUAACCGGAACGAGCAGUGUAGCGGUGAAAUGCGUAGAUAUUGCUCGGAAGGCCAACGGCGAAGGCAGGUUACUGGUACGCAACUGACACUGAGGCACGGAAAGCGUGGGGAGCAAACAGG
rnacentral:rRNA from 1 species